ACUGAGGUGGCAGAAAAAAUGCAAUAGUUUUAAGAAUUAUGAAUAGAUAAUAAUCUUCUUAGUA
rnacentral:tRNA from 1 species